rnacentral:lncRNA from 1 species
UUCAAAAAUGAGCAAAGCCCAUACCGCAUAGUCAGCUAUAAAAGGCCCCGAUAAGAAAAUGUAAAACAAUUCAAACGAGAAAACUAACGGCUUUAUUUAUAUAUAAAAAAAAAUGAACGAAAAACAAAUAUGUAACACAUAAACAAACGACAACCACUGAAUUACAGGCUCCUGACUUGGGACAGGCACAUACUUAAAUAAUGUGGCGGGGUUAAAUAUGUUAGCGGGAUCCCAACCCUCCCCUUAAAAUGGGAUAGUGGUAUAACAGUACAACAUAAGAACGAACUAUAAAAAUCAGUUGAAAAAGGCUGAACUCAUCAGAUGGACAAAAAUACAAGUGGACGUGGCCGCGUACUUGUACAUCCCGACAAAAAAAGACA